rnacentral:rRNA from 1 species
GUGACUGCGUACCUUUUGUAUAAUGGGUCAGCGACUUAUAUUCUGUAGCAAGGUUAACCGAAUAGGGGAGCCGAAGGGAAACCGAGUCUUAACUGGGCGUUAAGUUGCAGGGUAUAGACCCGAAACCCGGUGAUCUAGCCAUGGGCAGGUUGAAGGUUGGGUAACACUAACUGGAGGACCGAACCGACUAAUGUUGAAAAAUUAGCGGAUGACUUGUGGCUGGGGGUGAAAGGCCAAUCAAACCGGGAGAUAGCUGGUUCUCCCCGAAAGCUAUUUAGGUAGCGCCUCGUGAAUUCAUCUCCGGGGGUAGAGCACUGUUUCGGCAAGGGGGUCAUCCCGACUUACCAACCCGAUGCAAACUGCGAAUACCGGAGAAUGUUAUCACGGGAGACACACGGCGGGUGCUAACGUCCGUCGUGAAGAGGGAAACAACCCAGACCGCCAGCUAAGGUCCCAAAGUCAUGGUUAAGUGGGAAACGAUGUGGGAAGGCCCAGACAGCCAGGAUGUUGGCUUAGAAGCAGCCAUCAUUUAAAGAAAGCGUAAUAGCUCACUGGUCGAGUCGGCCUGCGCGGAAGAUGUAACGGGGCUAAACCAUGCACCGAAGCUGCGGCAGCGACGCUUAUGCGUUGUUGGGUAGGGGAGCGUUCUGUAAGCCUGUGAAGGUGUGCUGUGAGGCAUGCUGGAGGUAUCAGAAGUGCGAAUGCUGACAUAAGUAACGAUAAAGCGGGUGAAAAGCCCGCUCGCCGGAAGACCAAGGGUUCCUGUCCAACGUUAAUCGGGGCAGGGUGAGUCGACCCCUAAGGCGAGGCCGAAAGGCGUAGUCGAUGGGAAACAGGUUAAUAUUCCUGUACUUGGUGUUACUGCGAAGGGGGGACGGAGAAGGCUAUGUUGGCCGGGCGACGGUUGUCCCGGUUUAAGCGUGUAGGCUGGUUUUCCAGGCAAAUCCGGAAAAUCAAGGCUGAGGCGUGAUGACGAGGCACUACGGUGCUGAAGCAACAAAUGCCCUGCUUCCAGGAAAAGCCUCUAAGCAUCAGGUAACAUCAAAUCGUACCCCAAACCGACACAGGUGGUCAGGUAGAGAAUACCAAGGCGCUUGAGAGAACUCGGGUGAAGGAACUAGGCAAAAUGGUGCCGUAACUUCGGGAGAAGGCACGCUGAUAUGUAGGUGAAGUCCCUCGCGGAUGGAGCUGAAAUCAGUCGAAGAUACCAGCUGGCUGCAACUGUUUAUUAAAAACACAGCACUGUGCAAACACGAAAGUGGACGUAUACGGUGUGACGCCUGCCCGGUGCCGGAAGGUUAAUUGAUGGGGUCAGCGCAAGCGAAGCUCUUGAUCGAAGCCCCGGUAAACGGCGGCCGUAACUAUAACGGUCCUAAGGUAGCGAAAUUCCUUGUCGGGUAAGUUCCGACCUGCACGAAUGGCGUAAUGAUGGCCAGGCUGUCUCCACCCGAGACUCAGUGAAAUUGAACUCGCUGUGAAGAUGCAGUGUACCCGCGGCAAGACGGAAAGACCCCGUGAACCUUUACUAUAGCUUGACACUGAACAUUGAGCCUUGAUGUGUAGGAUAGGUGGGAGGCUUAGAAGUGUGGACGCCAGUCUGCAUGGAGCCGACCUUGAAAUACCACCCUUUAAUGUUUGAUGUUCUAACGUUGACCCGUAAUCCGGGUUGCGGACAGUGUCUGGUGGGUAGUUUGACUGGGGCGGUCUCCUCCUAAAGAGUAACGGAGGAGCACGAAGGUUGGCUAAUCCUGGUCGGACAUCAGGAGGUUAGUGCAAUGGCAUAAGCCAGCUUGACUGCGAGCGUGACGGCGCGAGCAGGUGCGAAAGCAGGUCAUAGUGAUCCGGUGGUUCUGAAUGGAAGGGCCAUCGCUCAACGGAUAAAAGGUACUCCGGGGAUAACAGGCUGAUACCGCCCAAGAGUUCAUAUCGACGGCGGUGUUUGGCACCUCGAUGUCGGCUCAUCACAUCCUGGGGCUGAAGUAGGUCCCAAGGGUAUGGCUGUUCGCCAUUUAAAGUGGUACGCGAGCUGGGUUUAGAACGUCGUGAGACAGUUCGGUCCCUAUCUGCCGUGGGCGCUGGAGAACUGAGGGGGGCUGCUCCUAGUACGAGAGGACCGGAGUGGACGCAUCACUGGUGUUCGGGUUGUCAUGCCAAUGGCACUGCCCGGUAGCUAAAUGCGGAAGAGAUAAGUGCUGAAAGCAUCUAAGCACGAAACUUGCCCCGAGAUGAGUUCUCCCUGAC